CCUACGGGUGGCUGCAAUUAGGAAUCUUGCGCAAUGGGCGAAAGCCUGACGCAGCGACGCCGCGUGGAGGAGGAAGGCCUUCGGGUUGUAAACUCCUUUUAGGUGGGAAGAAAUAAAUGACGGUACCACCAGAAUAAGCCCCGGCUAACUCCGUGCCAGCAGCCGCGGUAAUACGGAGGGGGCGAGCGUUGUCCGAAGUUACUGGGCGUAAAGCGCGCGUAGGUGGGUUGGCAAGUCUGCUGUGAAAGCCCGGAGCUCAACUCCGGAGGGUCGGUGGAUACUGCCAGUCUUGAAGGUGCUAGGGGGAAGUGGAAUUACCGGUGUAGCGGUGAAAUGCGUAGAUAUCGGUAGGAACACCAGUGGCGAAGGCGGCUUCCUGGGGCAUUCUUGACGCUGAGGCGCGAAAGCUGGGGGAGCGAACGGGAUUAGAUACCCUGGUAGUC
rnacentral:rRNA from 1 species